CUCCGUUCAGUAGUAGGUUAUGCAGCGUUUGAACGGAGGCAGACAGGGGCUCGACAUGUAACCGGUCAGAAAUAACUUCACCAAUGAUACGAGGAGUAACCGAAUACCGGGAUCUUAAACCUUUUGGAUUUUUUCCCGCUUUGGAUAUUUCCCUUCAUUUAGUCGUCUCGGGGGACAAUUUCCCCUUAACGUUAGCCCCCCCUCUGUGAGAUCUAAUCUUUAGCCAGUUCCAAUCCUAGCACAAAACCAUACCUGUCUCAGGUCUCAUGUAGUCAGUCUUUACUAGCUUCCGUAGAUAGCUAGCUAAACCCGCGGACGCUAAAACCGAGAACAUCUUGAACUAAUGGUGUUCAACAAAACGAUGUGAUCCAUUUUAUUUCCGAUGAGGUAGCCGAGCCCAGCCGUUGGCAUCUGAAACAGCUGGGUCGUGUCAAGACGAUUGUGGAUUAACGUUUUUUUUCCUCCCCGAAUAUCUCUAAGAAACCCCGGACGUGGUUUUUCAGUGGCCAACAUGAGCGUCGAUUUAAUCGAAUCAACUACAUGAGUGGAGCCAAAACAAACCCAUCUUCCUUCCAAGGAGAGCACAUUUUUGAACAGCGCCAGUUGUCCUAGAAAAUAUGGAAAGCGAGGUUUUCACCCCUUUGCUGGAGCAGUUUAUGCUCACGCCUCUGGUCUGCUGGGUGAAGACAGUCGGGCAGGCGACAUUGAUCGAUGGCACUCAGUUAUCGGAAUAUAUUGAAUUAGUGGAUGGGAUUUACCUGAACGAGAUAAUGCUUGAGAUAAAUCCUAAGGCCACUGUGCAGAGGACCAACAAGAAGGUGAACAAUGACGCAACACUGCGCAUCCAGAACCUUUCUAUUCUCAUCAGGCAGAUUAAAGCCUACUAUCAGGAGACUCUCCAGCAGCUGGUGAUGAUGCCUUUACCAAACGUGCUGGUACUGGGCCGGAACCCUUUGUCUGAGCAAGGUCUGGAGGAGAUGAAAAAACUGUUGCUGCUGCUACUAGGCUGUGCUGUCCAGUGUGAGAAGAAGGAAGAGUACAUUGAGCGUAUUCAGACUCUGGACUUUGACACCAAAGCUGCCAUAGCAUCCCACAUCCAAGAGGUGACUCAUAAUCAGGAGAACGUAGUGGACAUGCAGUGGUUGGAAAGUGGGGAAAUGCCUUCUGAGGACCUGGACAGCCUCUCCAGAAAUCUGGCUUUUCAUCUCAAACGCCUGGUGGAUGAGAGGGACACCCAGCUGGAGACUAUAGUGGAGUUAACCCAGGAGAGAGACUGUGUACAGCUGUCUCCACUGGCUCCCUGUCCAACCCAGUCUCCCGGUGACUCCCCCAGUAUCAGGAGGACCGAAAGCCGACAGCACCUCUCAGUGGAGUUGGCUGAUGCCAAGGCCAAGAUCAGACGCCUUCGACAGGAACUAGAGGAGAAGAGUGAGCAGCUUUUGGACACCAAGCAGGAGCUUGAGAACAUGGAAGUGGAGCUCAAGAAGCUUCAGCAAGAGAGCUACCAGUUACUGUCGGACGCUCGGUCGGCUCGGGCCUACCGUGAUGAGCUGGACGCACUCAGAGAGAAAGCAAUCCGUGUCGACAAACUGGAGAGCGAGCUGAGCCGGUACAAGGAGAGACUUCACGACAUUGAGUUUUACAAGGCCAGAGUCGAGGAGCUGAAGGAAGACAACCAGGUCCUGUUGGAGACUAAGAGCAUGUUGGAGGAGCAGCUGGAUGCUAGCCGUACCCGCUCCGACAAACUGCACCUCCUGGAAAAAGAGAGUCUACAGCUCAAAUCCAAGAUCCACGACCUGGAGAUGGAGCGGGACAUGGACCGUAAGCGUAUGGAGGAGCUGCUGGAGGAGAACCUUGUGCUUGAGAUGGCCCAGAAACAGAGCAUGGACGAGUCCCUGCACCUGGGCUGGGAGCUGGAGCAACUAUCCAAGACACCAGAUCUGACUGAAGCCCCUCAGAAGUCCCUGGGCGAGGAGGUGAAUGAGCUGACCUCGAGCCGCCUGUUGAAGCUGGAGAAAGACAACCAGACCCUGCUGAAGACUGUGGAGGAGCUCAGAGGAGCAGCCAGUCAGGACACAGUGACAAAGCUGGCUAAAGUCAGCCAGGAAAACCAGAGACUGAACCAGAAAUUGGAGCAGCUGGGGAUUGAACGGACAGCAGACAGAGAGUCGCUCCUUAGUGCUGAAUCUCUCAGUACUGACCUGAUGAAGGAGAAGGCUUUACUGGAGAAGACUCUGGAAACACUCAGAGAAAACUCUGAGAGACAGCUGAAGGGCCUGGAGCAGGAGAACAAGCACCUGAGCCAGACGGUGUCGUCCCUGCGUCAGCGCUGCCAGGUUGGUGCCGAGGCCCGGGUCAAGGAUGUGGAAAAAGAGAAUCGCGUUCUCCACGAGUCCAUCUGCGAGACAGCUGCCAAACUCAACAAGAUGGAGUUUGAAAGGAAACAACUACGUAAGGAGCUUGAAGUGGUGAAGGAGAAAGGUGAGAGAGCAGAAGAGUUGGAGAUUCAGAUUCAGAAGCUAGAAAGGGACAAUGACAGCCUGCAGAAGAAAGUUGCCAGCCUUGGAAUCACCUGUGAAAAGGUGUCUUCUUUGGAGAAGGAGAACACUGAGCUAGAGGCAGAGGGCCGUCGUCUGAAGAAGAAGCUGGACACUCUGAAGAACAUGCCCUUCCAGCUGGAGGCUCUGGAAAAGGAGAACUCGCAGCUGGAGCAGGAGAACAUGGAGCUUCGGCGCUCAGCAGAGAGUCUCCGGUUGGCGGGGGCUAAGGCCGCUCAGCUAGAAGCUGAGAACAGGGAACUGGAGAGCGAGAGGAGCCAGAUGAAGCGCAGCCUGGAACUGCUCAAGGCCUCGUCCAAAAAGACAGAGAGAUUAGAAGUGAGUUACCAGGGCCUAGAUACAGAGAACCAGCGCCUGCAGAAGGCUUUAGAGAACAGCAGCAAAAAGAUUCAACAGUUGGAGGCAGAGCUGCAAGAGGUGGAGACUGAGAACCAAACCCUCCAACGCAACUUGGAGGAGCUCAAGAUCUCCAGUAAACGCCUGGAGCAGCUGGAGCAGGAGAACAAGACUCUGGAGCAGGAAAGCUCCCAGCUAGAGAAAGACAAGAAGCUACUGGAGAAAGAGAACAAGCGGCUGAGGCAGCAGGCCGAGAUCCGCGACUCCAAGCUAGAUGACAACAACCAGCGGAUCUCCACCUUGGAGAAAGAGAAUCGCACCAUGGGCAAGGAGAUGAUCUUCUUCAGGGACUCCUGCACGAGAGUCAAAGACCUGGAGAGAGAGAACAAGGAGCUGGUCAAACUGGGAACCAUUGAUAAGAAGACCCUCAAUGCACUCAGAGAGGAGCUUGUGAGUGAGAAGCUGCGGACUCAGCAGAUGAAUAAUGAUCUGGAGAAACUGACCCAUGAGUUGGAAAAGAUUGGACUGAACAAGGAAAGGCUGCUGCAUGACGAGAGCUCUGACGACAGGUUUAGGCUCCUGGAAACCAAAUUGGAGUCAACUCUGAAAUCAUCUUUGGAGAUUAAAGAGGAGAAGAUCGCCGCCCUAGAGGCCAGACUGCAGGAGUCCUCCAACCUCAACCAACAACUUCGGCAGGAGCUCAAGACAGUGAAGAAGAACUACGAAGCGCUGCGUCAAAGGGAGGAGGAAGAGAGGAUGGUGCAGAGCUCACCCCCUAGAGGAGGGGAGGACCCUCAGGCGUUCAGUAAAUGGGAGAAAGAGAGUCAUGAAGCCACCAGAGAACUGCUGAAAGUCAAAGACAGACACAUUGAGGUGGAGAGGAAUAAUGCCACACUCCAGGCUGAGAAGGCGGCCCUGAGGAGCCAACUUAAACAACUGGAAACUCAAAGCUCCAAUUUGCAGGCUCAGAUAGUUGCAGUGCAGAGACAGACUGCUUCUUUACAAGAAAACAAUACAACACUACAAACACAGAACGCCAAGCUGCAGGUGGAGAACUCCACCCUGAGCUCGAAGAGUGCAGCCCUCAUGGCCCAGAACGCCCAACUGCAGAGCCAGCAGAGCAGCGUAGAGGGUGAGCGUGAGGGUGCUCUGAAGGAGAAAGAGGAGCUCCGGUCCACCUACGAGAUGCUCCUCCGCGAUCACGAGAAGCUGGCGGCGCUCCACGAGAGGCAGGCCGCCGAGUAUGAAGCCCUGAUCGGAAAGCACGGGGGCCUGAAGAGCUCUCACAAGAGCCUGGAGCAGCAGCACAGAGACCUGGAGGACAAGUACAAGCAUCUCCUGCAGAGGAAGGGGGAGCUUGAGGAUCUGGAAAAGAAUCUGAAGGAGCAGCAGGAAAAAAUGGCGCUGGAGAAUCAAACGCACCAAGCCACAGCUGGCCAGUACAAACUGCUCAAAGAGGAAAAUGAAAGGCUGAAUAAUACCUAUCGUCAGCUGGUGAAGGACAACGAGAAUCUCCAACUGGACCAUAAAAACACAAAGAGCCAGCUGAACAGCGCCAAGCUGGACCAGACCAAGCUGGAGGCCGAAUUCUCCAAACUGAAGGAGCAAUACCAGCAGCUGGACAUCACCUCCACCAAACUCACCAACCACUGUGAGUUGUUGAGCCAGCUGAAAGGAAACCUAGAAGAGGAGAACCGCCACCUUUUGGACCAGAUUCAGACUCUGAUGCUUCAGAAUCGCACUCUGCUGGAGCAGACCAUGGAGAGCAAGGACCUGUUCCACGUAGAGCAAAGACAAUACAUUGACAAGCUGAAUGAGCUGAGGAGACAGAAAGAGAAGCUGGAGGAGAAGAUUAUGGACCAGUACAAGUUCUACGACCCCUCACCUCCACGCAGGCGUGGCAACUGGAUCACUUUGAAGAUGAAGAAGUUGAUCAAGCCGAAGAGCCGGGAGAGAAUGCGCUCUCUCACACUGACUCCCUCUCGUUCCGAGUCUGGCGACGGUUUCCUGAUGUUUCCCCAGGACAGCCAGGACAGCUCGUCCAUAGGCUCUGGCUCCAACUCGCUGGACGACACACUUACACAGAAGAGGAGCAGCAGGAGGAGAGGGCAGCAGCCCCAUGCCCAAGGGCAGGGUUCCACCAAUGCUAUAAAAAGGUUGCCUUUCAUGAGGAACAGAUCCAAGGACAAAGACAAGGCCAAGGCCAUCUACCGGCGCUCCAUGUCCAUGAAUGACCUGCUGCAGACCAUGGCGGUGGCGGGCGGUCCCGGGGCUCAGUGGGCGAACAGCAUCGAGAACCUAGACGGCGCUGAGGCCGGAGACGCUGGCAUGACUGGGAGCAGCAGGCGCAGUGGACAGCGCAUGAAGGAGCUCGCCUUUUCCACCAACGCCAUCGACUGUGCCACCCUCACCCUGCCUACUGCAAGGCAAAGCAGGGCCAAGCACCGUCUCCAGGUCAAAGAUAAUGCCUCCUGUGAGGAUGUUGCUGGCUCCUUAGAUGACCCCAAGAGUCAAGGCCUGCAGGUGUAUAGCAGUGCUCUGGCUCAGUGUCCUUCUCCUGUUGAGCUGAGCGUUAUUUGCAGGGUGCCCUGUAGCAUCUGUUCCGCAAGACCCACCAGUCUCCAUAGCAACAGGAUCACCAGUAGUAAUAGUAACAAUAACUCCCAACUCUCUUCUCCUCUGGAGGGCAAAGGCACGUUGAACGGCAGCCUCAGCAGGCCACACAGUGAGAGCAGUGGAGAGUUCAGCCUGAGUUUGGACCAGGAGGUGUGGUCCAGCAGCGGCAGCAGCCCAGUCCAGCAGCCCACCUCCUCGCGCUCUUCCCACCAGAGCCCCCUGCAGCUGCGAAGGUCACUCGACCCGUCCACCGCCGCCGGCAUCCCCGGCCAGACCCAGGUCAGGAAGACGGGAUCCCCAACCAAUGAGGUGCUUUCCCUGCAGCAGUUCCUGGAUGAGGGUAUUGAUCCUGCAGAGUCCGGCAGUCAGGAGAACCUCACUGUAGACUCUCCUCGCCUCUCCACUUCUUCUGAGCAUGUGCAGAAAGAACGCACUUCCACAAAGGGCCGAGGCAUAUUACGCUCAUCCAGUGGGAAAGCAGCGCUGGUAAGCUCUGAUCGCCCACCGAGGUCGGCCGGACAACCGGGUCGCCCAACCCUGCGUAAGGCAGAAAGCACCCGCGUGAGAGGCUCUGUCUCAGUCCGCUCCAGCCUAUCCUCGCAGGGCAAAGCCACGUCUGUGUCUGAACGCCUGGACUCUGCUUCCUCCACGCUGCCCCGGGCCAGCAGCGUCAUCUCCACUGCUGAGGGCACCACUCGGCGCACCAGCAUCCACGACCUACUCUCAAAGGACAGCCGGCAGCCCGUGUCAGUCGACCCUUCUCCCAUCGCCUCCACCAAGGCUGGGGUACGCUCCCAACCUACGCCCAAUGUGGAGGGCAGAAAGUCUAAAAGCAGGAGCGGGGAGCCGCAGCAAAGCUGCUAAACCCCGCCCCCACCACCCUCAUCUGUCUGCUACCAUGCUGUGAGCGCGUGAGAGAAAGGUGGCCUUGGAGCGAUGUUUUUGAAGCUUAAAUUAGUUUAUCUGCUGAGACCAUCUACAGUGAGAAAAGAUUGUAUAUCCCCAGUUUCCUUUUUCUUCCCAUUUUUUUUAACCCAUGAUACUUCAGUGGAGAAAAGUGGAUUUCUUCUCUGUUUUGGUUUUUCUUCCUUGAAUCAAGGAAAUCAAAAAUACUAGAAAAUUUGCUGUGACAGGUUUUUUCCUAUAAGACUAAAGCUGUGGCAGAUUGCACUUCCACGUGUACUUUAGUGUGACGGACUGCUAGAUGUGCACUAGUCUUUGUGUACUAAGAUUAAGUGCCAAUGUUCACACUAACAGCCAAAACGGUGAUCCUAAUCCAAACUGCUGACUCCAUUUUGGAUCUUUGAUGCAACUUUAAAGUCAGCCAGACCUUCAUCUGCCCAACGCCAUGACCCUAAAAAGUCUUUUUAUAAAUGGGCAGCAUGGACAAGCAAAGACAUGCAUUCAGUCACAUUUUAAAAGCAUGUUGGCACCAAACAAUUCUGACUCAACCUGCUUUUAGACUCACAAUCUGCAUGGAGCAAUCAAUCAGCCAAUCACCCCACUACCUUUGUCCAAUCAAAGAGGAGGACAGCAUUCAGUGGGGAUUUUACUUGCCAGGAUGCCAAAUGGACUUGGACAGGAAGCCAUGACAGCUGUGUGAUUGGGGUCUGUUGCCUGCCAAUCACGAGUGAAGGUUGUAUGAUCUGAGAGAGACUAAUCAGGGGAGUGUUCCAGGUCACCUAUAGAACAGUUGGCAGCCAUGGCUCAUGCCACCACAGACGCUGAAACAAAUUAUACACACUGUUCAUCUUAGCUUAAAUCAUAUAUAUCAUUAAAUCACCUCAUUUCUUGAUUCCCAUUCUGCUCUGAAAAAGAAAAUAACAGUUACACUAAAGUUCAUUAACUUCAUGCCUUCACAGUAUCGUGUAUCUACUUCCUGAGAAGGCACUCCGUAUAGGUGACCUGUGACCUACCCAGUACAUGCAGAUGUCUGUAGCUGUGUUGAACAUGAUGGUGAUUAUGACCCAGUGUUUUCCUCCUUUUCCACUUUUUACAUAAAUCCAUUUGAUGUAAUUAAAAUUCAUCAAGACUA